CGAUUCUGGCUCAGGAUGAACGCUAGCUACAGGCUUAACACAUGCAAGUCGAGGGGCAUCAUGACGAUAGCUUGCUAUUGUUGAUGGCGACCGGCGCACGGGUGAGUAACGCGUAUCCAACCUUCCCCUUAGUAGAGGAUAGCCCGGCGAAAGUCGGAUUAAUACUCUAUGUUGUUCGAUGCGGACAUCUAAGUUGAACCAAAGGCUUACCGCUAAGGGAUGGGGAUGCGUCUGAUUAGGUAGUAGGCGGGGUAACGGCCCACCUAGCCUACGAUCAGUAGGGUUCUGAGAGGAAGGUCCCCCACAUUGGAACUGAGACACGGUCCAAACUCCUACGGGAGGCAGCAGUGAGGAAUAUUGGUCAAUGGGCGUGAGCCUGAACCAGCCAAGUAGCCGUGCAGGAUGACGGCCCUAUGGGUUGUAAACUGCUUCUGCCGGGGAAUAAAGUGAGGGACGUGUCCCUUUUUGUAUGUACCCGGAGAAUAAGGACCGGCUAAUUCCGUGCCAGCCGCAGC
rnacentral:rRNA from 1 species